AAGCACACUGUGCUUCCGCACGGGAACGAUGCCCUCCCUGCACCGUCCUGGUUCUAGUCUACCGCCCAGCGCCCUGUCAGGUAUUCAGAGCUUCUGCACAGGAACAAAUUACUCCAUUUGCACCCUCCAGAAGGAUGAGGCCUAUUUGUGUCACCUGCUCACAGUGAUGUCUGGCCACUCCCAUCUGCUCCCUCUGCUGCCCAUCGGAGCAGGCUGGCAGGAAGGCGGGAGAAGAGUCAGACAUGCAUCUUCACCAGUCUGGAAGGUCCAUAAGAGCAGGCCCCUGAGCUGUCAUCUUUCCACUCUUGAAUGGUGCCCGACCCAGCGAUGAGAGACCAAGCCACACCACCUGUGUGACAGGGAUCAUGACUGCAGUCCCAAGCCUGAGACAAGGGAACACUGUCUGCUCAAGAGAAGACAGCAGCAAGUGGGGAGAGGACAGCUGUUCCCCAUCUUUGUGAAGUCAGAGGAAAGGGAUAGAGCAGUCGGAGAGGAGGAAGCCUGGUCACUGAGAAGCAGCUGAGGCAGCAGAGCCUGUUCAGGCCUCUUGUGCUCGCAGGAAGGGAAUGGACACACUACUACCCACCUACAGAGCCUUCUGGGCAGAGUCCAUUAUCUCAAUUUUACAGAAAGGGAAAGCAAUCCACAUAACAGGGAUGGGACAGGUCCUGGGGAUCUCCAGUGCAGCUGGCUCUUCUAAUUACAGACUCACCCUUCUCUCUCCUAAGGGGAAGCUAAGAAGUCAGAAAGUCUCUUUCAGGGACAGGAGAGGCUUCGGUGUGAGAGGACUGCUCCAUAACAUAGCUCCCAGGAGGGGCGGGGCCAUCGGAGAAUGUGAAGGGGGCGGAAGCCAGACCCGUGAAACUCUUCCUCUUUGGCCUCAGUGCCUGCUCCCCAGACUCCCUAAUUUCUUGGUUGCCCAACUCCCACAGGAAAGCAUUACCUGGAAAAGGAAGCUGGGGGUCCCAUCCCCCAUGCUCCAAGCACAGAACUGGGACUGGUGCUCAGGCUCCCCUAACAGGGUCUCAGAAGAAAAGCCAGGUCCAAAUGUCCCCUCUGCCCACUCCCCGUCCCCUCAGCCACAUGCAUAAGAAAGAGCAGAGCUGGGACUGAGGAAGCAGAAAGGAGGGGAGAGAAACAGAGACAGGGAGUUAGAGGGGCCCUUAAGAGCUCUGAGAAGCCAAGUGACCAAAUUAGUCUAGGGUGUAGGGUUUCCCAGCUUCUGAAGUCAGCAACACAGUGAGAGCUGAGGCAGGCCACAGUUGACAUAAUCCCAGGCCAACCCUGAGCUCAGCUUGCAGCCCAGAGCUGCAAAUCUAAUUGCAACACUCCCAUGCCAGGGUAGGUGUUGCCUGGAGCCAAUCUGAACCCAUAGCUAAAACCUAGGCGUAGCUGAGACAAGAUAAGAGAAGUGAGGGCUUUGUGGAGAGUGGGAAUGAGACCCUGAGGUCUCAAUGGGGAAGAAGUAGGAAGGUGAACAGAUGCAGGCCAGCGGAUGAAGACCCUGACUCACCCCGGCAGGCCUCUGAGGGGUCCCAAAUUCACAAAACAGACUCUCCCACCUCUGCACAAUAGCACCUGGGUGAAAGCUGCUUUGUCUACAUUCCCUCAGAUUCAGUUUUACAGAUGGGGAAGGUUAAGUCACAAGGAAGGCCAAUGUCAGAAAACUAGAACAAGACCCGAGACCCUCUGCUGCUUCAUAAAGUAAGGCCACUGCCUCUCUAAUCUCUGUUCCAAGCCCUGGAACAGACUCUAAGAGCAGAUUAAAUGUGACCUGUGAUGAGAUCAGCAAAGCAUUGGCUGAAUGUCAUCACCCUGAGAAACAUUCCAAGGAUCUCUGCAGCCACCACCAGAACACCUUGGGGCAGGCAGAUCCUUCGACACUAGCAGCACCCUCUUCAGUACCCAGAUUAACAGGAGCCCUGUACCAUUAAGGCUGUUCCAGGAUAGGUAAGCACCUUUGAGCCUGGACAUCUGUCCACUGAGUAGACACAAAAGCUGCUGUCAGGCUGGUGCCCAUGGCUCUCUUGUAUCCACCUCCAAAUCUCUCCAAAAGACUUACCACUUGU